rnacentral:tRNA from 1 species
UGUCCUUUAGUCUAGUGUGACGUUUUGGUUUCGGCCCAAAAAAAAUGAUUUAAGUUCAUAAAGGUUAA